rnacentral:lncRNA from 1 species
UGGGUGGCUUGUUCUCCUGCCAGAUGACGACGCUAGUGUGCAAAUCAAUCAUGACUAAAAUAAAAAAAAUGAUUAUAUUGAAAAUUCACUCAGAACAACCCAGAAAUGAUAUCGCCAAAUUCAGAAAUAUUCAGAGGAAUGCUCACUCAGGCAUUUUUCAUUCAGCCUUGUGUUCUGAUGAUAGAAGAAACAUGGUUUAUAGAGCUGUUUCACAAUGAAUAUCUGCUCAAUCAAGAGGAAGCAUUUCUCAUUAGUUUUAGUACACACCAUGUUUAGAGAGGUGAUAUACGUUUUUAGAAGCUGAACUUCAACUGAAAUAAUACAUCAAGGGGUUAGAACUGAAUUGAGUAUUUUUUUAUUAUUAUUAUUUUACCUAUGCUGCAAUCUAAACAGGCACCCCAUUCUAAAUAAUCUGAAAACUCAACAAUCUAAACAGGUUUCCCAUUAUAAAAUUAUAAAACACAUGAAAUUGGUUGUACCUUCAAUUCAGGGAAGGAGGUUUUGCGAGUGCGAAACACCUGUUCGUAGUGAUAUGGGAAUAGAUAAUGGUGGCAGCGCCGUAGGCUGAAAUGACGGUGAGACGGCCCUCUUGACAGAAGAGUCUUAUACUCAAGCAAUUCCUUACACUGAUGAGAUGAAACCAAUUCAGGGAGAAAGCUUAAAAAAUAAAAUACUGAUGACAUCCCAUAUUUUAGUGGUGCAAUCAAUAUAGAAAACAUUGUCAUUAUAUUCAUCAGAACUUGGACAUGAUAAUAUACCAUAAUGAUUGUUUUGGUCGUUGUAUUUUGGUUGAUUAUGGAAUAUAUUAAGAACCAUAUGAUGAAACGAGAGGAGGAUUUAUGUACCUUUAUACGAAUCAGAGAUCCAUGGCUGGGUGGAGGCGGGCGACAAGGCAGGCGACGGUGUCUGGGUGGUGGAGAUCGGGGGCGGCACGGAGGACGGGAGGAGACAACCGAGGCGGGCAACGAGGAGAGGAGGCGGGCAACGGUGUCUGGUGGUGGAGAUCAGGCGGGCGCGUCUGGGCGGUGGUGAUCGGAGCCGGCGCGGAGAUGGGCGUCGCCGAGUCUGAUGACGCAGCUCUGGCGGUGGAGAUCGGGGAUCCGCAGUGCCGGCGGCGGGGUAGGGUUUGGGGAUCGGGAAAGGCGGCGCCGGCGGCGAUGGGCGAGGGGCAGAAGAGAGAAGGCGAGGGGGGAGGGGGGGCGUGAGAGGGAGUUACGCGCGCGAGAGAGAGGGUGCCAAGGUGGGCUCGGGGAGGAGCGCGGAGGGAAGGGGGGACUCAUCUGGGCCACUCGAUUAUUUGUAGAUGAAUACUGAUAGUUGGAUUUGAUGAAUGAGUAAUGUAGGUGUAAGAAUGAGUUGGUGCAAUAAAGUUUUGUUUUGUUUAAGAGGAAUUUUACUAUCCUUGAGGAGUCUCAAGGUACCACCAGGUAUCUACCUCCUUAAUCAAUUGAUAUCCACCGUUAAUUCACAAAGGUUAAUUUAGGGACAAAAUUUAUUAUUAACAAGGAUAGCUUAGUAAUUGACCAAUCACCGGUUCUCCAUCCACUGCCAAGCGUUCACGAUUUCCUUUCCACGAUUUCAGUGCUUAACCAUAAUCAAUUCCAAUCCCAAUUGAACGAGCUCGGAGGCAAGGAGCAGGGGCUGCGCGCGCGACGGCGGCGACCAGCAAGCACGUGCGAGGCGGCGACCGGCUAGCGCGAGCAAUGGCUAUGACCAGCGUGCGGCGGCGGUGAUGUCGACUGGCUGCCGCAUACGUCGGCUACGAUGGGCGGGCGAGACGGGCGCGUGCGGCGGCGGAGACGGCGACCGACUGCCGCGUUAGUUUGCUGUGACUGGAGGGCGCAUAAUUCAGCAGCGACCUCAGCGUGUGUGCAGCGGCUGAGACCGGUGGGCGCGUGCGGCCUCGGUGAGCGGCGGGCGCGUACGGCGGUGACAAGACAUAUCGGUAAAAGUAUUACAUAAACGUUUAACUACAUAAAGAAGCACAACGUUCUUCCUCCUCUGCUGCAUGAAUGCAGCUUAUCUUGAAACGGAUAGGAGUAGGAUACAGAUCUAAAAAAAAGACGAUUUUGUCCUUAGCCAUACAAAUCAAUUAUAAAACUCAAUUACCAUUUUAACCUUUCACCUUACAUACUUUGCCCACUCUUUUAAUACCUUUCUUCUAGUAACUUCUCUCUUGGAGCGUUAGAUCAUUAGAGAUCAACGAUCCUAAUUAAUUCCAAGUAUAGAAGAAGAUCUCACCAUUUAAAUAUAACCGUCUAUUUAAAAAGGGUAGGAUUGGAAUAUGUAAUUGCCAGCUCCUGCUUGCAACACCAUCGUCUCAAAUCAUUCGCUAUAUGUUGCGCCACAGUUAUAGAUGGCCAAAUGAGCCACCCAGCCCGACACGGCCCAAUAGGGGUCGGGGCACCAUGCUGAGCCAGUCCGAAGGCACGGACAGCCCAUCGUGCUUUCUUUAAAAUAAAUCUAUUUCCCCUCCCUCUUUUUUGGGUUGUGACAUAUAUAUAUAUAUAUAUGUAUAUAUAUAUAUAUAAUUUUCUAAUAAUCUACUCGAACGCCCAUGUGUUCUCCUUGCGGAUUUCCUCCUCCUCCGGCGUGAAGUCGUUCUUGAUCCCAAACUCCUUCCUGAUCUGCUCCGGCGACUUGCCUUUGAUCAGGUUCGCCGUGUGCUGGCAGCACAAAUCCAGCAAGCUCUUGAUGUUCAGGAAAUUGGACGCCAGGAGCAAGCCGUACAGCAUGUUCUUGUCCACGUCGAUCAUGAACUCGGCGUCGAAGCUCUUCAGCUCCUUCUCCUCGUCCUCCGCGGCGGCGGCGUGCUUGACGCAGUAUUCGAUGACCUUGGCGAGGACCUUGGAGGCGACGUUGGGGAGAGGCACCCCGUUCGUCGUGCAGUCGUUCUCGAUCAUGUUGGAGACGAGCUGCGACAGGCUCGCCGCCGCCGACGGCACGUUAAAGUGCUCGCCGUCGGAGCUGAUUAAGAGGAUCGUGUCGUCGGCAACCUCCUUCUUGUCUGCCGCCAUUGAUCUCGCUACUUUGAAACACGGACGGACGAAACUCGCGGAUUGCAAAGCUCAACUGUUUCUUGUCUUUCUUGGAACGUAAACGUUGGGUGUGCUUGGAUCAUGGCGAGAGAGGAGGUGGUGUGUUUUUAUUGCGUGAAACCGCGCAAAAACAACUCGGAUUCGGUCAUGUGGAGUCGAAAUCCAAUCCGAAUUCAAUUGAUUUUCGGUGAUUUCCGCGUUAGUUUGGUGUACGUACGUCGUCGAGACUCGAGAGAUUUUUAACUGGACUGAUCUUCGGAACCUUCUUCCAUAGUCUAAUUAGACUCCUUUUGGAAACGAGUACUCUAAUUAUUUCUCGAUAUUAAUUAAUUUACAAUUAUUACAGUAGUAAAAUGAGAUUAAAAUACGACUCCUACUCGGAGUUUAAUUAUCUCACGCUGCUUUAUGCAAUAAAUACAAUCACGCCGCGAGGUUCUAUCUGAUUAACACCAAACUUUCCAAGCCAUCGACCAAAUAAUACUACUUCAGGAUUAGAUUAUCGUCAGAAGUUCAUCAACAAUGGCGGCAGCAGCAGCGGAGGCCACGACCGAUGGCGGCGGCAAGAUGAUCAUCCUGAUCAGCGCCGACGGGAAACGCUUCGAGGUGACGGAGGCGGUGGCGAGCCAAUCGCAGCUGAUAUCCAACAUGAUCGAGGACGAUUGCACGGAGAACGGGGUGCGUCUCCCCAACGUCGACGGCGACAUCCUCACCAUGGUCGUCGACUACUGCAACAUGCACGCCGGCGACGCCGCCGCCGCCGGCGACACCAUGAAAGCAUCAAGCACGGAGGAGGAGCUGAAGAAGUUCGACGCCGAGUUGGUGCAAGCCCUCGAGAAUCCGGUGCUGUUCAAGCUGAUCUUGGCGGCCAAUUUCUUGAACAUCAAGAGCUUGCUGGACAUGACGUGCCAGCGCGUGGCGGACAUGAUGUCCGGCAAGACGCCGGAGCAGAUGAGGGAGACGUUUUCGAUCGAGAACGACUUCACGCCGGAGGAGGAGGCGGCGAUUCGCCAGGAGAACGCCUGGGCCUUCGACGACUAGCUGUAGCUGCCUACAUCAUCAAAUUUAAUCUAAGCAGAAUUUAGGCAUAUAUAUAUAUGAGAUUUUCUUAGUUUUAUGAUUUAGGUGUUUUAUGCUAAGUAAUUAAUCGCUUAGAUGUUUUGCUUAUUAUAGUACUGAGACUUCCUCCGGUGCUUGGGAGUUAUGGUGUCCGUUGAUUACUUGCCAGUUGCCAUCUAACGGUCUGUGAUAAAAGGUAUGUCUCAGAAGGUAUAAUUAAAAAAAUGAGCAAGGUAUUAACUUGAUGAUUAGGUGGAAGGUUAGAUUGAUAACUUUAGUUUCAUACAGAUUAGAGGGUGGGGCUUUAAUCAGUAAAAGAAUUAGGAUCGAUAAGCCCUGCUUGCUGAUAAGAACAGCUUUCUUCAGCAAGUACCAUACGGACGAAACGCCACCACCACUGAUGAUCCACAAUGACCAUGAAUUUUGUAUACAUACACAGAUUCAACAAACUGGUUGAUCGAGCCAUACUUGUCUUUGUGUAUGGACGAAAGAGGAUUAUAUUUGUUUCUUUGGAGUCUAAAUUUAGAUGAGGACCUGAAGAAUCAAUUAGGGAAAGGGGAUUUUGGACAAGUGUUAGGAUUUAUGAUCUCAUGUACUAAAACGCAAAAAAAAAUUGAAUUACCUAGAAACGAUGCGAACGACAGAAUCGGAGAUAAGUAAUAACUUGAUGCAAAAAAAGAGAUAGACGGUUACAUGUAAAAGGAGUUAAUUAUCGGUGUUUAUUAAUGUUUUCUAUUCCUAAGUUGCCCUUAACAGAUCAACGGUGGGUGAUUAAGUAGUAAGGGAGGUACCAGAAAGUAGUAAGGGAGGUACCUCUGGUACCUCUCAAGCACCUUAAAAGCUCUCUAUAGUACUAUGUACAUUUGUAAUCUUUUCGAAUCCUAAUUUAUAGAGAUCUUCUUCUGUGCUUGGAAUUAAUUAGGAUCGUUUAUCACUAAUGAUCUAACGCUCUAAGAGAGAAGUAUCAGGAAAAAUGUAUUAAAAGUGUGGACCAGGUAUGGAAGGUGAAAGGUUAAAAUGGUAAUUGAGUAUUAUAAUUGAUUUUUACGGUUAAGGGCCAAAACGUCUAAUUUUCAAUAGGCAAAAUUUGCCUCAGAACACUCAAAAAACGUGUAAUUGGCUGGGAGACACCACGAAAACGUGACACGGCUGAUAGACACUACAAAAAAUGUGUAAUUAGCUCUAGGACACCGGUCGCAUUAUUUUAUUAUUUCUGGGUCAAAAGAGGUGAGAUAUUUUUCUAAAUUCCUGGAUUGCCCCUUCUCUUUCCUUCCUUUUCUCCCACUCUUUCCUUCUUUUCACCUUCUUGUUGAUUUCGCCGAGAACGGCAUAGCAGCCUCAAAGCCGCGGUGGGGCGAGGUCGGCGCGGCGUGGUGCGGCAACAUCGGCGGCCAGGGCGGUCGAUGGCAUGGCACGACCAUGGAGGCGCGGUGUCCAGCUAGAUCGAUGGCGGGUAGGCGACGACAGUGCCGGUGUAGCGGGGCGCGGCUGAGCGGCAGCACCAAGCGCAGGCGGGGAGGCUACGAUGGGUCUUGGCAUCACGACUUGGGUCCCGGCGUCACCACUGCUCACCGGAGAAAGCGGAAUCGACCAUGGCGAUGGCGGCGGGUUCAGAUCGGCGCCGAUGAAGAAGGGGUGUGAUCUCCUUCUCCGGCGCACCAUUUUUCGGGGUCCUUGAGGGGAGAUAGAGAGGAGGAUGAGGCGGAGAUGCUGGCGCGACAGCUUGGCCCGGCUUGGUCCAGAUAAGCGGGAACGGCGAUGAUGUCGCUGCGGCGGUGCACAGAGCGCGCUCCAGAGCUCUGGUGGGCACGACAGCGUUCCCGUCGAUUGGCUGCACGAAUCGAGAGGUUGUCAAAGCGAGAUUUGAUCGGCAUGGAGAGAAGAUAAUAGAACAUGAAUUAGAUAGGAAUGGAGACAGCUCGUUGGUGAUCGGCGGCGCCCUCCUUCUCGGCGGUCGACAACAAAAGAGAGAUAGAGAGGGAGAGCUGGAGCUCUCUUCCUCGGAUGGCGAUGCAGCAGGGACGAGAUGGCGAUGCGUCGAACUCAGCCGGCGCCGAUCUCUCUCUCGGCUGUCUCUGGUCGAUCUCUCUCCCGUCGCACGCCCAACACGACGAGAUGAGGAGGCUAUUCUCCAGGUUCGGCAAGAUCUAGAGGGAGAAGAAGAUAAGGGCAAAACUGUCAUUUUACGUUGUUUCUCUCUCAUCAAUUGAACAAAUAUUAUACUAUAAUGUGUCCAGUGUCCUGCAGCAAAUUACCACAUUUUUUUAGUGUCCUCGGGCAAAUUCUUGUUUUCGUGGUGUCCCAUAGCUAAUUACAUAUUUUUUGAGUGUCCUGUAGCAAAUUUUGCCUUCAAUAUAUGUAUAUCCUUCCUAUAUAUGUUCUGUUCUGUAUUCCAUCCAUUCGUAUCGCUGCUUGGUUCGAGGCGUCGGUGGAGGUGACUUAGGCGCUGAGGCAUAGGGGGAGAGACGGAGGCAGACGGGCACCCCUUACAGCGUCGACGACCGUGAGCUCGGCUCACAGGAUCGCUAGCUCGCGGCAGCCGCCCGCGCCAUCGCCGCUUUGGAGCUCUCCUCGUCGAAGCCGGACGCACCCACCGAUCGCAGCCGCUGCACGCGCCCUGGGGUUGCCGCCGCCGUACACGCCCUACGGUCACAGCUGACUAAUGUGGCAGCCGGUCGCCAUCGCAGCCGCCGCACGCGCCCGUAGCGCCCGCCAGUCCAAGCCGACACACACGGCAGCCGGUCAUCGUCGCGCCGCCGCAUGCACCUGUUGCGCCCGCUGGUCUCCAUUACCGCCACCGCAUGCGCUUGUUGCGCCCAUAGCGCCCGCCCGUCGCCGACUCGCCGUCACCACCGCCACACGCGCCCAUCACGCCCGCUGGUCACAGCCGCCGCGCACGCUCCCGCCGGUCGACGCCGUCACACAAGCUGCCACUGCCACUAAUUAAGAUACCCCUGUUAAUAUAAUUUUUUUUCCUAAAUUACCCUUUAUGAAUUAACGGUAGAUAUCAAUUGAUUAAGGAGGUACCUAAGGUACCUUCCAAGUACCGUAAAAGAUCUCUAAUUUAUAAUAUGCAACAAAGUUAGUUUUGUUUUGUUUGAGAGGAGUUACCAUCCUUGAGGAGGUACCAGAAUGUGUAAUUGCCAGUUCGUGCUCACAACACCAUCGUCUCAAAUCAUUCUCUCUGCGUUGCGCCACAAUUAUAGUUGGCCAAAUGGCCCGCCCGGCCCGGCAUGGCCUAGGCCAAGAUUUGUCGGGCUGGCACGGUUCGACCUACACACCAGGUCGUACCGUGCCGGCCCACGUGCUCCACCUAUGGCCCAGGCACCCAAUAAGGGUCGGGCCGUGCUGGGCCGGCCCGAAGGCACGGGCAGCCCAUCGUGCUUUCUUUGAAAUAAGUCUAUUUCCCUCCCUCCUCUUUGGGUUGUGACAUAUAUAUAGCUAAAAUAAGUCUAUUUUACGUCCCUACUCUUUGAGUCGUGCCAUAUAAUACGUCGAUUUGUCUUCCUAUUCUCUGUGCCCUGUCUUACAUAUGGUCGAAAGUAAGUCUAUUUCACCUCCUUGAACUUCAUGUCGUGCUAGGCCGGCCCACCAUGAUGAGGCAUAGGCCCAGGCACAGCCCAACAGCUGGGCCGUGCCGGCACGGGCCUGACAGCAAUCGGGCCUUGCCGUGCCUGGUCCGUGCCAUCGAGUCAAAACCUCGUGCCUUGGGCCAAAGGUGGGUAAAUUGAACUAUUUUGAUAUUUAGAGAGUGUUGGAUACCCGGUUUUAGAGUUUGCUAUGAAUUUUAGACCUAGACAGGACUUGAAGGGUGUAAAAUGGAUUCAUCCCUAUUUUUUUAUUACAUAUAUAUAGAAAUAUUAAUAAAUAUAUAAUUUUAUUUAUGCUAUUUUUAGACUAAAACUAAUAUAGUUCUCCUUAUUUCUAACACAUACUUUACAUCAUGAUAUUCAUAGUCCAAGUCUUUAAAACUUUGACAAUAGUCUUUGUUCAAGAUGACAAGUAUUAUGAACCCCUCUAGAAGUACAAAUUUAUUGAUACUCUUUCUUCCUACCUUCUACUCAUUUGUUUUCUGCGAGUAAACUUCCCGAAUGGCUAGAUGUACAACACGUUUUUUCGCAAAAAAAAAUAGUAAAAUUAAUUUUAAAAAAAUCAUAUUAAUUCAUUUUUAUGUUUUUCUUUAGGACCAAUUGCAUAUUUGCCACUCGAUUGAACCGGUAUUGUGAAUAUGCCAUUAAAAAAAUUGCAAUUGCAAAUUUGCCACUAAAAAUGAUUUGAACCCUACCUACCUGCCAUUGGAUUGACGGCAUGAGCUAACAUCGUUAAAAGGUAUAAACAUUAUAGCAUCUGAGGCAACAAACAAAAGACAAGAAACAUUUGGCUAAGGCUCCAUAGCAUAUCAAAUGGAUGCUAACUGAAUUUAAUUCUCCUUCCCAUUCCCUCUAAUGCUAACUUAAGUGGCAAAUUUGCAAUUCAUGUUUUUCUAAUGGCUAUUCCGAGUUAGGGGGUGGAAAGUAGUGAUAUAUUUGCAAUUCUCCCUUUUCUUUAAGCUAAGACUUAAUUAUUCAUGCGCUAAUGAGCCACCUUGUUUUACGUGCGCGGGAAAGAAGCUUCCAGCCCCUACCACUAAACACACGGCCUAAUACUGGCACCUUCCAUCAUGGUUUACUAGCCUGUGAUGUCGCGCAUUCGCGUGACUCUAUGCCUCCUGUUACAUGGUACUUAGGAGUGGCAAUAUGUUUUUAUGGGUUUCUCAUCGCUCGUAAAAAAUAUAGGUCAGAAUGACUAAUAUUAUGCUCAUACAAUAGAUAGCUUAAUAUUUAUUACAAAUUUUGUAUCUGAGUGAGUCAUUGUUUUAUAGGUUUUCACGUUGCAUGACCCCUUAUUUUGAAUAAGCGCACACUAUUUAUAGCCUAUGCUGAAAUAUUUUGUAGGUUUUUAAGGAAUGAAUUUGAUUUCAUUUUAUAUUCAUGUGAAAAACAUUAAACCUAUAUUCGGGCGAUAUGAUUGUGCAUGUUCUUGCAGCAAUUUUUGCCUCAAAUAUGUUAACAAUUAAUUGUUAGAAACAAAAUUAAUCGUAUGAACGCACAUUUGUAUAUGUUCUUAAAUAGCUGAAUCUUGACAUGUGAAUAUUUAAUUAGGAUGAGGGUUUAUUUGUAAAAUAAUUUAUUUUAUUACAUGAGCAAUUCAUAAAUUAUUUGCAUCCUAUGCCUAUUCUCUAGCUUUUUUCCCCUUCCCUCUUUCUUUCCUCUUCUAGUAGCUUUAUCUCCGGAAGCCUCUUUAAUUAUUAUUUUUAUCAUCCAUCUAAUCCAACGGUCCAGAUUCAUUUAUUCUCAAUUCAUCAAAUGAUGUCACUCAUCCUCAAUUCAUUUUGAGUUUCACUUUUCAUUAGUUAAGAUAUCGAUAGCUUUAGUGUUGGCAUCUUCUUGCUUGAUGCAACAAUACUACUAUUACUUAAGUAAUCAUGCACAUGCAACACAUGUAAUAACCACUAUGAUUUAAAACAAGCAUAUUGCCCAUGUAAUGCAAGAUUUCCGUCAUAUUUUAUGUAAUUCAGAAUCCAUAAUAAAAAAGGUAAAUCAUUCAUGAUACUAUAUUGAAAUUUAAUGUACCAACAAUACACAUAAGUCUCUAUAUAAAAAUACAUACAACAUACAAAAGGAUGAGGAUCAAUGGUCUCCGAACUAGCACUUUACACAUUGUUGAUGCAAAAAAAAAAUAAAACCCUGGCCUAAGAGAUUUGCUUAACUCUAGUGAAAAAGCUUGCCUUCAGACCUAAGGCGUGCCAAUUGGUUUAAUACUGCAACCAACAAGAAACAAGAUAAACAGUUAAAUUUAUAAACGAUAGCCAAUCGGCUGGAGGGCUGAUGACAUAUCGUCUUUAACCUAGCCGAUGCAACCUGGUUUGAAUCAGCUGUAAGGUGUAGCAAUAAAAUUAAGACCCUAAAUUCAUGUCAUCAGCUGUAAAGAUUAACAUUACAUAAUCUAUGAAUCAUCAUUACUUGAAAUAACAGUGAUUGGGAUAGAUAGAACUUAAUCGAGACAGUAUAAAUCACUUGUAUCCGAAGUUAUAUGAAAUAAAGAUUAUACGAGUUCAUGUCAUAGCUGAUGAAAGAAUUUAAGCAUGUAUCGGCUAUAGCUUCAAUACAACCUUAUACUGGAAUAUUACUCUAAUAUAAAUAUAUUGAACAAAUAUCAAUCUAAUGUUUUUUUUGCGGGGAAAUAUCAAUCUAAUGUUAGAUUAAUUAUAACAAGACCGAUGAUAAGCAUAAUAUAUUUAGAUGAUUAAGAUUCCAAUAUAAGGGCAGAUAUAACUUGUAAAGCAAUACAAAGCAAAGCAAAACAAUUAUAUCAUGUAAGAUCGGUGGAAACUCCGAUUCUAUCCUUAAUUACAAUCAUAAAGUAGCCUAGAGAUUAUGGUUCUAAACAUGACUUAGUAGGUCGAACCCAAUUGAUGCAACACUAAGUGUAUAGAGAAACAUAAUAUCUAGACAAUCAAGAUGAUGAUUGUUUUUCAGGAUGGUGGAUAUGUUAUACUAAUCUAAGCCAACAAAGUAAUCUAGCCGUUAUCGGGAAAACCCUAGAAAGUGAUCGACCAAUAUAAGUACAAAGUAUUGUCAAUCUAGAUUAUAUAACAUAUAUGAUAACUCGACAUUUUACAUGAGCAAGAUUAGAGUGUCAUAAUGAUGUAAGCACAAAUCCCGAAAAUGCUAACCACCAUAACAAGUUUUACCUCUUGUCGAAGAUCGUAAUCGAUGCAGCCCAACUCAAAAGCAAGAACUCGUCGAAAAGUAAAGUAAUGAAAAGGUGGCGAUGCGCCGAGAGUAUAUAUUUAUACCCAAAUACAUAACUCAUCCAUAACGGACACGACUCACACUUCCUAUUACAACUCUAACCGACGAACAAGUCCCUUAGGUGGACUCUUAAUAAGGAAAAUACUUAAUAUCCUAAUUAAUGGAUACAAUUUCCUAUCUCGGACUCUAUCCUUGCCCAGCAAUAUCAUUGAUGCUCUUCAUUCAAAUCCGACAUUGAUUAUGAGACCAAUCUUGCCAAUAUCGGUUGUAUCGACUCACCGUGUUCAACUCGAUAUCAGCCUAUACAGACUUCCAGCCGAUGCAAACUCUGCUUCCAGAAAUAUCGCAUCUCUUCCAAAUCUAAUUCAGUGUUUAUCUCCAAAUCCAAUCCAUAUAUUACCAAAUUUGGUCGUUAACUCAUAUCUUCCAAACUAUGUUGAUGAUGGCCAUAGAAAUCGCUAAGUGGGGAACAAAAAUCUUCAUUUACCGGCCCACCACCGUCAUUUGACUUUUUCAUAUUAUAAGUAAUUUGACUUUUUCCUAGUCAAGUUUGACUAAGCUUAUAGAACAAAAUAGCAACAUCUAAAAUAUCGAAUUUGUUUCAUUUAAUGUAAUAUUGAAUAUAUUUUGACAAUAUGUUUUUUUGUUGAAAAUACUAAUAUAUUUUUCUAUUAACUUGGUCAAACUUAGAUUGUGUUUUCGAGACAAGAAGUUUUUUGGUAGAGUCUUGGAAAAUUCUAUAGGUCACAUAUUUCAUCUAUUUGAGUUUAACUUUUCUAUGGUUGGUUCUUGUGGGCUCCUAAGUGUGAAAAAAAUAUCAAAAACAUAAAAUAAAAAUAAAAAAGUUGCACGUCUCUCUUCUACACUAGAGAGGAGAGGAAAAAUAUGGCAUGGGUAGAGGGUGGGGGGGGGGGCGGCGCCAGCCUCAUUGGCGCGCUCCCCCUGCCACGUCAGCGCUGACUCGCCACGGUGGCAGGAGGACGGCGCCAGAGUGGCUGGCCCGUCCCAUUGGACCACGGUGCCAGCCACUCUGGCGCCACCGAUAUGACCAUUUCCGGGAUAAGUUUUUUCAGAGGUCUAUUUAUUAAAUAUGUUUUUCAAAAGGACCAAAUUGUGAAACAUCCAGGAUGGGAGACGGCCUCGAGCUGUCGAGCAUGCCGGCCGGUCACCUACUAGCCAGCCUCGGCGGUGCGCGUGAAGAGCUUCUUUUAUGUCCUCGAGGGCCAUUUUUGCUCGCCUCCACCUCACCCACAUCGUUAACAUUUUCUUGCCCAUUCCGAGUGAAGCUUCUGCUGCUUCGAUGGUUCAACGUGCUCGACUAAGGCGAGGUGGUGCGUGGCACGGAUGUUUGCGAGACGGCGUUCACGGCAAGCACUAGAUCAGCGAGGAUGGCAUGUUCAGCACCCUAUGCUGCAAUAUGCGUGCCACGCCCGGUGGCCGGUGGCGGUGAUCGCCAAUCGUCAUGGCGAGGAUGGCGAGCAUGCGGACAUGAGCAGCGAGAUGACAAUCGAAGACGCGCUCUGGAGUCUAGACUCGCUCGACGACGUCGGCUGGCGCGCGCGUACACGUACCGGAAUCGCGCAAAGGAACAUCGAUCAUCGUAAUGGCGGAUUCCAUAUCCCCACAGCGCGUUCAACGUGCUCGACCUCAGCGUGUCUGACUUGGGGCUGAUCCUGGCCCUCCUUGUUGGCGCGCGCACUCGUGAGGCACAGCGCUGCCACAUCGGUCUGGGACUGGGAUGGCGGUCGGUCGUUGGCGUCUCGUUCCACUUCCACGCUCUCAGAACGGAUCUUGGGGAAGCAGAGCACGUACGUGCCAGCGCCCGGUGAGGUGUGUGAGUACUGGAUCAACGACGACAAGUUAAUUAGGCACCCUGUCCCUGUGCCGGCGCUGUGCGCCCUUCGAAAAUGAUCGACGUGCUGCGCCAGGUGCCGGUGAUCGCCACUAGCCGUGCAUGGCAACGACGAUGAGCAGCAGCUAUGCACCUUAACCGGCCGGUAAUGGUGCAAGUGGAGCAGGCUACGCCGCCAACACGGCUUCAAUUAUUUUCACAUAAUCACUGCCCUAGAAUGGAACUAAUAGGGUUGACAUUGUAGUUUUUAGUUCAAUCGUCAUGCUACCAUAUAAUUGCUGCUUCAGUAAUUGCAUCUCAAACAGCAACUUAUAUGGAAAUGAGGCCCAAGUCAAUACUAGCUCAAUACAGAAAAAUAGAAUCAAAAUGCUACUCCAUAGAGCAAAACAUAUAACCAAAUUUGUUUAAUCCAUAAACAACAAUAGCUCAGUACAGAAACGUAUGCUAUAGAGCAAAACAUAAGAACUACGCAGCGGUUGCCACCACCUCCUGCUCACGAGCGGGCUCGCUCCUCGCCUCCUCACGAGCAACACGAUAUCGUCGCUGCAUCUGCCGCAUCCACCUUACGACCACUGCAGCAGUUCCCUAGAUAAAACUAGUUAUCAUUUAUGAUUCAUCGCUCUUCUUGCCACCAAUAGAAGUCCUAUCAUUGUCAACUAGUAUUUAAUGAGUUUGGCCCAGUCGAUCGAGCCCAGUAGAAGAUAAAGUGCCCCAUGCCCGAGGAUCGUGGUGAAGGUACGGGCGAAAACCAUGCGUCGCAUCACGACAUGGUAACCCCGGAGCUUGGCCCUCAUGUCGUCGUGGGAGUGAAGGAGAAGAUGGAAUUUUUUUUAUCAAAUACCCUCCAUUUUCAUUAAUAGAACGUAGAUCAGGCUACAGCACAUAAAAGAGAAAAGGAAGGUAGGUUCUGCUACAGCGACUAGGCCAUAUAAAAAACAAAUAGGCGUUCACAGGUUUUACAACAAAAGAGCACAAAGAAAUGAAGCCCAUCUAAGCUAAGAAGCAAAAGACUCAGUAUUUUCUAACUAUCCAGACACUGCAUUUAGUCCUCUCUAUCAGCAAGUUUCACCCCUUCCCAAUUUGUACCCGACAUUUUAAAUUUGUUGGAUGAAAUAGAUUCUGAUUACAAUAAAUUUGAAAUAUAUAUGUUUGAAAGUUUGUUGAUACAGUCUCAUUCACAUAGUAGCAAAAAAGAUACAAAACGGGAACCUUGCCAUGAUAAGAUAACCCCUAAAACAAAACUAAUAAGAAAAACCUGCGAAAAACAAUAAAAAGAAAAAAAAGAGAGAGGUCUUAUAUAGAGCAUAAGAAGUAUGAAAAACCCCAAAAAAAGCUAAAGCACUUGAGAGAGUUGAUUAAAUAAAUUAGGGUGGACUAGUUAGGCUUACAAGAAGCAAGAUUAAAACAUUGAACGAUAGAGAAGUAGUUUUUGUGUGGGAGAAUUUUGAUUGGGUUAAAGGAGGAAAUAUUUGGGAUUAUAGAGACAAAAAUAAAAAGGAAAAUAUUUUUUUCAAACAAACAAUUGUGAAUAAAAAUGAUAAGGAGUGGGAUUUGAUGAUUGAGGCUGCCUAGAAAGAAAACAAAGAAGAUUUCCUAAGAGAAUUGACACAUGAACUGAAUUGGGAAGGUAAGUAUAAAAGAGAAAAGAAAGAAAUAAUUUCACAAAUAGAAUAAAUUGACAGAAAAACUAAAGUCCAUGGGAUGAAUUGGGAGGACAGUGAACUGAGAAGGGAGUUCGAACAGAAGUUAAAUUAUACAAUAAGAGAAGAAAGGGUUAAAUGGUUUCAGAGAUGCAAGGAUCAGGAAACUAUAGACGGGGAUAAUAAUACAAAGUACUACAAUGCCAAGGCAAAUGGUAGGAAGAGGAAGAUCCAUAUAUAUAGCCUACUGCAAGAGAGGAAUGAGCAAUAAAAGAUCAGCACAAUUUGGUUGAGUACAUCACCAAUUAUUAUAAAAAUCUAUCUGGUCAUGCUGAGACAAAUAUCAUGUCCCUUAACAUGGAGGGAUGCUCAGAGCUUCAGGAAGAAGACAAAGAAGAUCUGAUUAAAGAAAUUUUCAAAGAGGAAGUUUUGGCAGUUGUGAAAGAAAUGAGAAAAAAUUGGGACCCUGGUCCUGAUGGUUUCCCCCAUUGAAUUCUAUGAACAUUUUUGGGGCUUGAUUAGUGCUGAUUUGAUGAAGGUUAUAUUAGAUUUCCAACAAGGGCUCAUUGACAUAAAACCUGAAUUAUGGUGUGAUAAUCUAGUCUCAAAAACUCAUUUACAGAUUUAGAAGUAUAGGCCAAUUUGCUUGUUGAAUGUGAGUUUUAAAAUUAUAACUAAAGUGUUAAUGAUGAGAUUGGUUACAAUCAUUCAAUACUUGAUAGCCAAAAACCAGACAUCAUUCAUAAAGAACAGAAACAUAAUGGAGGGGGUUUUGGUCUUGCAUGAGAGUUUGAAUUCCUUACAUCAGAAAAAACAGAGUGGUUUGUUAUUCAAGGUAGAUUUCGAAAAAGCAUAUGACAAAGUCAAUUGGAGCUUCAUUUUUCAAGUUCUGAAAGCAAAGAAAUUUCCUGACAAAUGGUGUGAUUGGAUUAUGAAAACUGUGAGAGGUGAUAAGGUUGCAAUUAAGAUCAAUGAUUAGAUUGGUCCUUAUAGUACAUAUAAAGGUCUCAGACAAGGUGACCCCAUGUCGCCAUUGCUUUUUAAUUUGGCUGUAGAAGCACUGACUAUGAUGGUGUAGAGGGUGUUGGUGAUAUGUCCUAGAGGCAAUCAUAGAGAUGAUUGUAUCGCAUAUUAUGUUUACAUAUUUAUCUGACAUUGUUCCUUGAAAUAGAUAACUCAUUAUUGAUUAAUGAAUAUGUGAUUCUUUCAUGAGACUUUUUAUGUUGUAUGUUACUAUUUCUAAAGGAUCUCUGAUCAAAUAUCAUAUGUGGAACAAAUAUGUUUAAAUGAUCAGCACAUGUAUUAAUUGAUGAUCAUGUCUCAUAGAUCAUGGUAUAAAGAUACCAAAUUAAUAAUGUGGACACAUGUUGGGGAACAUGUUGUUGGAUAGACCCAACAAGAGACUGCAAGAGCCAUAUGUGUUGUGUCAUCAGUGAUAUCUCAUUUAAUGUUGGUGCUGAAUCCUUAGACCUGAGAUUAUCAUGGUUCUCGACAUGUGUAGUAGCUUACUUAGAGACUGCUAAACACUACUCCGUAAUUGGGUAGUUAUAAAAGUAGUUUUAGGGUAUGCUAUGAAACAUGUAGUGGGAUAUGAAUAAUCAAGAUGGGAUUUGCCCCUCCUAUGGAGAGAUAUCUCUGGGCCCCUCGAUGUUAUAGAUUAUGGAAGUGUAUGGCUAUGCCAAAGAUGAUUGAGGAGUCAAUCACAAAUUAUAUAAUCUAUCACAGGUUCGAGUGAAUGAUUGAGCUAAUAGAGGAUGGCACAUAUCUAGCCUUGAGCUUAAUCGAUGUCGUGAGGCAAAGGGGUUCAUACAAGUAUACACUAGAGGUUCAGCCGAUGUGAUCUUUAUGUAUGCCCGAUGGGUCAAUACGUUCUGCUAGGGGCCGCUGUUGACACGUGGACCGAAAAGGAGUUUUUAGGUUACAGCCGAGUGUACGUGAACCUAUAGGGUUGCACGCUUAAUGGGCCGGAAUAAGGGAAUUGGAUGGAGAUCCAAUAUGAGCUUAAUUCGGAUAGGGAUCCAAAUAGGAGUCCUACGGGCCUUGGAGGCCCGAGUCAUUGGAUCCUAUAUAUUCGUGACUGGUGUGACCGACGGAUGUAUUGCAUCACGUGAGAAACUCUAGCCGCCACUCCCCUCUCCGAGCAAACCCUAGCCGCGUGGGGGUGCUAGCACAUCUGCACGUGGUGUUCCGUCCCUGUACGUGUGGAUACCGGUAGAGGCGCCGCUGUUUUGCGGUGCUGAUCGGCGUGGGAGAACGACGAGGAGAACGCACGAGGAGGAGAAGGUCGAGCCGGUGCGAUCGACUACUUCGUCUACAUCGACGCGCGCUACAUCGCGAGGGUUCCUUCACCUACUUAGCACUUUCUUCCGUUGUGCAGCGCGUCGAGUGGUAAUGAUCUAUGAUCUAAUACUUGCAUGGUUCCUAGUUUAUACGGUAGAAAAUUUUGAUUUAUGCUAUCGUAGCCUCUGCAUAUCCCAACAGAGGGCAGAACAGAAACAGUUGAUUCAAGGGUUGGAGAUAAAUAAUGAGUGUAGUAUUCCAAUUCUGCAUAAUGCAAUAUGCAGAUGACAAAAUCUUUUUAUUGAGAGACAAGCUGGAAGAUGCAAAGAACCUGAAAAACAUUUUGUGUUUGUUUGAACAAUUGUCAGGACUGAAAAUAAAUUUCAACAAAAGUGAAGUUAUUUUCCUUGGAAAUGAUGUACUGAGGCAUCAGGAAUACAGCAAAAUUUUCACAUGCAACAAAGGGGACCUGCCUAUGAGAUAUUUAGGAAUACCAAUUGAUCAAAAACACAUUCUAAAUAAGGAUUGGGGGCAGACAGAAAAGAAAAUGGAGAAGAAAGUGGGUUGCUGGCAAAGGAAGUUGCAGUCAAUAGGGGGCAAAGUUACUCUAAUAAAUUCCAGUCUGAGUGGAACACCUCAGUAUAUGUUGUAUUUUUAUAGAAUUCCAAAAGGGGUCAAAGAAAUAAUGGAUUUCUAUAGAAGAAGAUACUUGUGGCAGGAAGAUCGAGGAAUCAGAAAGUACCAUAUAGUGCAGUGGCCUGUGGUGUGUUCACCUAGAGAUCAGGGAGGCAUGGUUUUGUUAGAUUUAGACAUUAUGAACAAAGCACUUCUCGGGAAAUGGCUUUGGCCUUUGGAAAAUACAGAUGGUAUAUGGCAGCAAUUACUUAGAGAAAAGUAUCUGAUAAAGAAAAUUCUUGCAAACAAGAAGUUGAAAAAUGGUGAUUCUCAUUUCUGGCAGGGGAUGAUAGAUAUUAAGGAGGCAUUCAUGCAGUUCAUAAGGAAAAAGCCAGGGGAUGGGAAGAAUAUUCUUUUUUGGGAAGAUAAUUGGUUGGGUGGGAGACCCAUAGCUGAACAAAUACCCCAGGUUUACAGUGUCACUCAUUCAAAAAAUAUAACUCUAGCUAUGGUAAAAGAAAAAGGUUGGCAAUCAAUUGUUUUUAGAAGAAACUUAACUGGAGACAGGCUGAGGAGUUGGAAUGAAUAAAACAAAGUUACAAAGAUGUGAUAAUAUCAAACUGUCUAUACAAAAAAGAUAAACUAAGAAUGGGGAAUACACUCUCAAAACUUUUUACACUUUUUUGAAAAUACAGGAUAUGAUCCCAAGAUUGCCAGGGAAGCACAAAAAAAUCUGGAAGUUAAAAGUUCCAUUAAAGAUAAGGAUCUUUAUCUGGCUUCUGAUAAGAAAAAGCAUCCUCACAAAGGAUAAUUUAAUGAAGAGAGGGUGGAAAAAAGGAGCUGAGUUGUGUCAAUUCUGUGAUAAAAAGAAACAGUAAACCAUUUAUUUUUAGAUUGUCCACUUGCCAGGUUUACAUGGAAUGUGGUGUUCUGUGCUUUUGAUUUAAAACAGAUCACAAGUCUCAAACAUAUUUGGGGAGAUUGGAUACAGGGCAAGGACAAAACAACAAGCCAAUUGAUUCUAGUGGGGGUUGCAGCAGUACUUUGGUCAAUCUGGAAACAUAGAAAUAAUGCAUGUUUUAGUCAAAUUUAUCCUAUUGAUCCAACUGAAAUUAUUUUUUGUGCUUGUUACUGGAUAUCAACCUGGGCUGUUUUGCAGAUUUCGGAGGAAAAGCGAAGAAAGCUGCAGUGGGGGGUACAACUUCUAAAACAGGUCACAAAUGAGAUCUUCAAAUCACAGUAUGGAUGGAGAACAGGAUCAAGAAGAUUGGAGGGGUGAACACAACUGGACUUCCAGAUGGGGAGGAGAAUGAACAAAAACACCAACUACGUGCAAUAUCUGGAUAGUUGGAAAAUACUAAGGCUUUUGCUUCUUACUUCCUCCAUUUCAUAUUGUAAGACUUUCUAGCAUUGCUCACAUUCAUAUAUAUGUUAAUGAAUCUAGACAUAUAUGUGUGCGUAGAUUCAUUAACAUCUAUAUGAAUGUGGACAAUGCUAGAAAGUCUUAUAACCUGAAACAGAUGUAGUAGCUUAGAUGGGUUUUCCUUUCUUUGUGCUCUUUUUUUGUUUGCAAGACCUGUGAACGCCUGUUUGUUUUGGAUGUGGCCUGAUCGCUGUACUAGAACCUAUAUUUCAUUUUUCUCUUUUAUGGGCUGUAGUCUCAUCUGGGUUUCUAUUAAUGGAAAUGGAGGGCGUUGUCAUUUGAUAAAAAAAACUCCAAUUGUAUAGUGAGCUGAUUGACCAUCGUCUCCUUCACUCCCACGACGACAUGAGGGUCGAGCUCCGCAGUUACCACGUCGUGAUGUGACGCAUGGUUUACACCCGAACCUUCGCCACGAUGCUCGGGCACAAUUGUUUUGCUUUGCUUUGUAUUGCUUUACAAGUUAUAUAUGCCCUUAUAUUGGAAUCUUAAUCAUCUAAAUAUAUUAAGCUUAUCAUCGGUCUUGUUAGAAUUAAUCUAACAUUAGAUACAUAUUUGUUCAAAAAAAAUAUUCCAGUAUAAGGUUGUAUCGGAGCUAUAGCCGAUACAUGCUUAAAUUUGUUCAUCAGCUAUGACAUGAACUUGUAUAAUCUUUAUUUCAUAGAACUUCGGAUACAAGUGAUUUAUACUGUCUCGAUUAAGUUUGAUUUAUCCCAAUCACUGUUAUUUGAAGUAAUGACGAUUCAUAGAUUAUGUAACGUUCAUCUUUACAGCCGAUGACACGAAUUUAGGGUCUUAAUUUUAUUGCUACAUCUUAUAGCCGAUUCAAACCAGGUUGCAUCGGCUAGGUUAAAGACGAUAUGUCAUCGGCCCUCCAGCCGAUUGGCUAUCGUUUAUAAAUUUAACUGUUUAUCUCGUUUCUUGUUGGUUGUAGGAUCAAACCAAUUGGCACGCCCUAGACCCUAAGGCAAGUUUUUGCACUAGAGUUAAGCAAAUCUCUCAGGCCAGUGUAUGUUUGUUUGCAUCAACAAUGUGUAAAGUGCUAGAUCGGAGACCAUUGAUCCUAAUCCUUUUGUAUGUCGUAUGUAUUUGUAUAUAGAGACUUAUGUGUAUUGUUGGUACAUUACAUUUCAAUAUAGUAUCGGUGAAUGAUUUACCUUUUUCUAUUAUGGUUUCUGAAUUACAUACAAUAUGAUGGAAAACUUGCAUUACAUGUGCAAUAUGCUUGGUUUAAAUCAUAGCGGUUAUUACGUGUGUUGCACGUGCAUGAUUACUUAAGUAAUAGUAGUAUUGUUGCAUCAAGCAAGAAGAUGCCAACACUAAAUCUAUCGAUAUCUUAACUAAUGAAAAGUGGAACUCAAAAUGAAUUGAGGAUGAGUGACAUCAUUUAAUGAAUUGAGAAUAAAUAAAUCUGGACCGUUGGAUUAGAUGGAUGAUAAAAAUAAUAAUUAAAGAGGCUUCCGGUGAUAAAGCUACUAGAAGAGGAAAGAAAGAGUAAAGGGAAAAAAAGCUAGAGAAUAGGCAUAUGAUGCAAAUAAUUUACGAAAUGCUCCUAUAAUAAAAUAAAUUAUUUUACAAAUAAACCCUCAUCCUAAUCACAUAUUCACAUGUCAAGAUUCGGCUAUUUAAGAACAUAUACAAAUGUGCGUUCAUACGAUUAAUUUUGUUUCUAACAAUUAAUUGUUAACAUAUUUGAGGCAAAAAUUGCUACAAUAACAUGCACAAUCAUAUCGUCCGAAUAUAGGUUUAACGUUUUUCACAUGAAUUUAAAAUGAAAUCAAAUUCAUUCCUUAAAAACCUACAAAAUAUUUCAGCAUAGGCUAUAAAUAGUGCGCGCCUAUACGAAAUAAGGGGUCAUGCAGCCGUGAAAACCUAUAAAACAAUGACUCACGCAGAUAUAAAAUUUGUAAUAAAUAUUAAGCUAUCUAUUGUAUGAGCAUAAUAUUAGUCAUCCUGACCCAUUUUUUUUCGAGCGAUGAGAAACCCAUAAAAACAGAUUGCCACUCAUGUGUACCAUGUAACAUGAGGCAUAGAGUCACGCGAAUGCGCAAUAUCAUAGGCUAGUAAACCAUUAUGAAAAGUACGAGUAUUAGAUUGUGUGUUCUGUGGUAGGGGCUGGAAGCUUCUUUCCCGCACACGUAAAAUAGGGUGGCUCAUUAGCGCAUGAAUAAUUAAGUCUUAGCUUAAAGAAAAACAUAGAAAGGAAUUAAUAUAAAUUUUUAAAUUAAUUUUGCUAUAUAUUUUUUUUGUGAAAAAAUGUGUGGUACAUCUAGCCAUUCGGGAAGCGUACUCAGUGAAAACAAAUGAGUAGAAGGUAGGAAGAAAGAGUAUAGAUAAGUUUGUACUUCCAGAGGGGUUGAUAAUACUUCAUUUGAACAAAGACUAUUGUCAAAGUUUUAAAAACUUGGACUAUGAAUAUCAAGAUCUAAAGUAUGUGUUAGAUAUAAGGAGAACUAUAUUUGUUUUAGUCUAAAAAAACAUAAAUAAAAUUAUAUGUUUAUUAAUAUUUCUACAUAUAUUGUAAUAAAAAAAUAGGGAUGAGUCCAUUUUACACCCUUCAAGUCUUGUCUAGGUUUAAAACUCAUCCCAAACUCUUAAACCGGGUAUCCAACUGUUGAUGCGAAAAACACGAGGCCUGAAAGAUCUGCUUAACUUCAGUGUAGGUCCAAAAAUCUUGCCUUUAGGUUCGUAAGCGUGCCAGUUAAUUUGAUCAUGCAAUCAACAAGAAACAAAGACAGAAAAUAACAAUUAAAUCCAUAAACGAUAGCCGAUCGGCCAGUCGCUGAUGACGUAUCAUUUAUAUUUGAGCCGAUGUCAUAUUUGAAUCGAUCGGCAAUCAUGAAUAACUGAAAAAGAACUAAAUCUAUUCGAUCGGCUGUAGGUAUUAACGAUAUAUAAUCCUUCUGUCGAUGUAUAUUUAAAUCAAGUGAUUGGGAUAGAUCGGUCGUCAUGCCGAGACAGUAUAAAUUACUUAGGUCAAAAUAUACAUUAACAUAAAGAUUAUAACCGUUCAUAACAUAGCCGAUUAGAUAGAUCUAGCAUGUAUCGGUUAAUACUCUGAUACCACUCUAUAUUAAGAUAUUAAAGCAGGCAGAAUAUAUCAGACAGGAAGCUUAAUAUACCGAAAUGCAACAAGAUCUUAACAUAAAGGGCGGAUUUAACAUGUCAAUAAAGCAUAUAAGACAUAAAGUAGUUAAAUCAGAUAAGAUCGGCUGAAACCCCGAUACUACCCUAAUCGACUACCAAAAACAGGCUAGAGAUUGAGAUUCUCAUCACGACUUAUAAGGUCAAACUCAACUGAUGCAGUUAUAAGUAUGAAAAGAAGGACCAUAUCUAGACAAUCAAGCCGUUGGAUGUUUCAUAGGGUGGUAGAUAUCCUAUAUAAUCUAAGCCAACAUUGCUAUUUAACCUAAUCGGCUGCCUUCCAAUGAUAGAUGUUAGUUGAUCGAAGGUUAAAUAGCAAUAUUAUCAAAGAUUAUAUAAGAUAUAUGAUAACUAGACGAAUUACAUAAACAAGAUUAGAGUAUCAUAAAGAUGGAAGCACUAAUCCCGAGAACACAAGCCGCCAUAACAAGUUUUACCUCUAGCUGAAGAUCGAAACCGAUGCAGCUCAACCCGAAAGCAAGAACUCGUCGAAAGUAAACGAAGUAAAAGGGUGGCGAUGCGCCGAGAUUGUAUUGAACGUCUAUUAUUUGAUUACAUGGGUUCGGGUCAUAUUUAUACCCGAGAUACAAAAUAUGUCCUUGUCGGACACGACUCUUAUCUCUAACAAACUCUAAGAUACCAUAAAUCUUUGCGGCAGACUUUUGCCAAACUUAUGUAUAAGGAAUUUACAUAAAAUAUCAUAAUUAAUAGAUACAAUUGCCUUUUCAGUACUCAAUCCGUGCGUGGCAAUCCAUAUGAAGCACCCUAAUUCAACCCGAUAACGUGUACCGAAUCGUAUUGUCGGAAUCGGCUCAAUCGGCUAACCUUGUCCGACUAGAACUCUACCGAUUCUAGUUGCAGCCGAUUCGGACUUUAGCCGAUUCUUCCUCUGUUUCCGGAACGGUCUCUAUCUUCGAUUCCGCUUCGGUUUUAUAUCCAUCUCCGAUACUUAAAUUACCAAAUUCGGUCGUUAACACCAACACUCUCUAACUAUCAAAACAGUUCAAUUUACCCUCCUUUGACGGGCGGCACAGGAGCACGGCCUCACGAGGCAUACGGCGCAGUGCCAGAGCAUGGGCACACUGCGGCGCAACGCAAAGAGAAUGAUUUGAGACGAUGGUGUUGCGAGUAGGAACUGGCAAUUACACAUUCCAAUAUCCUACCCUUUUAAAAUGGACGGUUAGAUUUGAAUGGUAUAUACUUGGUACCUAGUGGUACCUCCUCAAGGAUGGUGAAAUUCCUCUUAAACAAAACAAAACAAAACAAAACUUUAUUGCAUAUUAUAAAUUAGGAGUCGAAACGAUUACAAAUGGAGAUUUUUUACUGUCCUUGAGGAUGUGAGGUACCAAAUCUUGACCAUCGAUCUUGUAUCAUCGGACGGCUGAGAUUGGAGCGUACCGCGUCGUACCGCACGCGCUGGUUUCAGCGGUACCGCUGUGGGGGGAAAAGGUAUUUUCGCGUUAUCCCGCAACAGCGAGAGAGAAGGGGUCCUUUGAUUCCGCUCGAUUCCGCCGAGCGGUAUCCUCUCUGGGCUCUCUUUCCUUAGUUCGUCUUCAUCUGCCCAUCUCUUUCGUUCUCUCGGCUCUGUUUCCUUCUCUCAUCUUUCUCUCCAAUUUCGUUGUGGGCGCACGCAGAGGGAGGAGUGCAGAUGAUGGGGGAUGGCAGAUCCCUAGACCCCCCCCCCCCCCCCCCAAUCUGGUCGUGCUCCCCUUCAAGCAAUUGAGGCAAUUCUGCCGCAAGUAGGGUGGGGCUGGUGCUGUCAACAGCGCAACAGCGGUUAGAUUCAGCUGCUGCGGGAGUCGUGGCCUGGAAAACGGAGAGGAACCGCCAGAUCGUAGGGCCACACCGCUACACCGCCAGAUCCUGGAGAGUUUGGCCACCGGCUGGAAUCAAUUGGUUGAUGCCGAAGCUGUCAAGAUGGGUGAUGUAUGUGUUUUCCGUUUCAAUGACUCUGAUGAUGAGCUUACUCUUGAAGUACAUGUUCUUAGUUAGUGUGAUGGAUGAACAUCACCAUUUUGCCUGGCACUGUGUACCGCCACUCCUAAGUUAGUAUAUAUGAUGUAAUCGUGAAGACUAUAUGACGAUGUGCUUAGUCUUAAUGUUCCUGCACUUAUGUACUGUGAUGGAUGAACAUCACUAUUUUAUCAAGCAAUAUGUACUGCCUUCCUAUGAUGUAAUUAAGUUAGUGGAUGAACUAUCUACACAUCUGUUUAAUCCUAAAUGGAUGCUAUUCAGUUUGCUUUGAAAAUUGAUGUUCUGGCUGCUUCGGUUCUGGCGGCUAUGAAGUUCUUUCGGCAUUGGUUCUUCCGUGUAAUUCUGUUGUGUAAUUCGGCACCCAGUUACACACAACUUCAACUCCAGGCGUGUGGUACAUGCAUAUUUCAAACUAACAAACAUCUUCAAAUCCAGGCACACUGCAUGGAUAUUUUGCACUUAAACAGAACUGAUUAAUAGCUACUCGUACAGUUUAGCUCAAGUGAAAAAAACAUAACAUGCAAGUACUUCUGCUCCAAUACAAAUAAUCUUGCCAGCUAAUCUAUACAUACAGCAACACAGGCGAUGGCGUGGCGACGAAACGAUUGGAUCAACCGGCGAUGGCGACGGAACUGACAGAAGGAGAACACAGUAGGGGAUUGCGCUGCUCUGUCCGGGAUGGCCGGCGGCGGUGGGCGGUGGGCGAACUAAAAACUCCCAGCCGGCAUUGGCGCCGGCGGCGGAACUAAAUGGCGGCAACGACGGAUGAUUAGGGGCUACGGCGGCGGAACUGCUGCGGCGGAGGACGAAACGCUCCGCCCCGAGACUCGCGCUCUGACUUGACGGGAAGGGAUUGCGACGACGGCUCGCUGCUUGAGCGUAGCCGACCCAGAGGCCCAAUCAGCGAAUACCUCCUUUUUUAUCCUAUCGUGCCCCUGCCAAAUCAAUGGCUAGAUUUGAUUGGUAUCUCAUAGUAUCUUUUCAAGGAUAGGAAAAGAGCUCAUCACCGCCUCCUCCUCCGGCGUGAAUUCGUUCUUAAUCGAAAGCGUCUCCCUCAUCUGUUCCGGUGUCUUGCCGGAAAUCGUGCCCACUCGGCCGACGGCCGCUGCCGGCACUGCGCCGCGGCUCCCGCCUCCGCCGGUGCGCCCAGCCGGCGGCCGCCCCUGCCGUGCUGCCCCCGUGCUGGCGUGGUCUUCGGCUCGCCGCGCCGCCGCCGCCGCACGCCGCGCCCGCCGCCCGCGCCGCAACGCACGCCACCACUCGCGCCGCAACACACGCCGCCGGCUGUGGCUGUCUCCAAGCAAAAUUAGGGUUAAGGUCUUAGGGAAUUGGGGAUUUUUGGGAGGAGGGGAUUUUUGUUUGGAAAUGGGCUCAGUUCCAGCCCAAAUAGACCGCGGGCCGAGUGGAAAGGGGGAGGGGAGUGUAAAAUUUAGGCCCAAUACAACAGAAAUGGUAAAACAAGGCCCAAAUAAGUAGUUUAACUCUUUUUCUUUAUCUUUUUCAUACAUUUUUUUAGAUAAUGGAAUAUAAUCCCGGCCUUUACUCAAAUAGCUACAGCCAAUUAUUAUAUCAACUCAACAAAAACUCACACCUGAAUAAACAAAAGCAUAGACGAACUAAUAAAACACACACAGCAUAAACGAUCACAAAAAUUAUUGAAUUCUAUUUGUGAAUCUCCAUCCAAAGUUGGCGAACAGCUGCAUAACCAAUGACUCAAGAUUACGACAUGCAGCUUUCAUUGACUUGAUUUCUUCAUCACACUUUUGUAGCUGAGCCCAGGAUCGGAGCCAAUAUGUUGUCCUGAAAAGAACCUGCAUAUAGGAUAUAGAUGGUGAUUUAUCAAAAACCAUAUCAUUUCUACACAACCAUAUAGCCCAACAUAUAGCGGAUGCUCUAACAAGAAUAAGUUUGGUAGAUUUUUUAUAACUCCCACGAGCCAAUUCUCAAAAAUAUAAGAUAUACUAUGAGGAGUAUAUAAACCAACAUUAAACUGUAGAGCUCUCCAAAGAAAUUUUGCAUAAUGACACUCUACAAACAAAUAUUGAAUAGUCUCAUUUCUCAUGCAAAAACAACAUUUCAAACUACCAUGCCAAUUUCUCCUAGAUAAGUUAUCCUUUGUUAGAACAACCCCUUUAAGUAGGUACCACAUAAAAAUCUUAAUCUUGAGAGGCAUCUUAAGUCUCCAUAUAAUCUUAUUCCUCUCAAUGUUGCCAUUAUUAAUUAAAGCUAAAUACAUAGACCAAACCGAGAAUACACCAUUUUGAUGGAAAUUCCAUCUAAAAAUAUCAUUCUCCUCUGACAAAUGAAUAUGAACAAUUGAAGCACAUAAAUUAUGCCAAUUGUUUAAAUUCUGUCCUACUAAAAGCUCUCCUAAAAGAAAUAUUAAGUGAAACAAGAGACAUAACAUUUGCAAUUGAAGCAUUCCUCCUACGAACUAUAGCAUAUAACGACGGAUACCUAUCUUUAAAAGAAUAAUUCCCUACCCAUUUAUCUUCCCAAAAUUUGACUUGUACACCAUUAUUCACAAUCCAGGAACCCAUAUUUAGAAACUUACUCUUAACUUUCAUAAGACCAGACCAAAAAUGGGAAUCCCCUUGUUUCUUCUCAACCUGACUUUAGGAUUGAUUAUAAAGAUAUUUCAUUUUCAAUAGAUCCUGCCACACACCCUGCUCGUUUAUGAGCCUAAACAACCAUUUACUCAAAAGAUAUUGAUUUUGAAUUUCAAGAUUAUGAACUCCAAGACCACCCUAAUCUUUGGGUUGACAAAUCAUAUCCCAUUUAGUAAGCCUAUACUUCUUCUUGUGUUCAUCCCCUUGUCAAAAGAAAGUGAUCUAUAAUAAUCAAUUUUUUUGAAGACCUCCUUUUGGAAUCUCAAAAAAAGAAAUCAUAAACAUGGCUAAUCUAGAAAGCACAAAAUUAAUCAACACCAACCUCCCCCCCUCCCCAUAUGUUUACCUUUCCAACUACUAAGUUUCUUUUCAAUUCUUUCCUCAACUGUUUUCCAAUCCUUGUUACUAAGUUUUCUAAAAUGCAUAGGAAUACCAAGAUAUCUCAUAGGGAAAUUCCCAAGCUUACAACCAAAAAUAGUAGAAUAAAGCUCUUGACAUUCCUUUGCCUGACCAAAACAAAAUAAUUCACUUUUAUGAAAAUUAAUUUUAAGGCCAGAUAAUUUUUCAAAAGUCGAUAGUAACAAUUUUAGAUUUUUGGCUUGUAGUAGAUCAUGUUCAAAAAAAUAAGAGUAUCAUCUGCAUAUUGCAAAAUAGAAAGACCAUCAUCCACCAAGUGUGGAAUAAUCCCACUAAUUUGACCAUCAUCCUUGGCCCUCUUAAUUAAUAUAGUAAGCAUAUUAACAACUAUAUUAAAAAGAAUUGGAGAUAAUGGAUCUCCUUGUCUAAGACCCUUAUAAGUUUGAAAAUUAGAACCAACUUGAUCGUUUACUUUUAUACCCACAUGUCCCCCCUAGAUAAAAGAGGCAAUCCAUUGACACCAUUUUGACCAGAAACCCUUCAUCCUUAAGGUUUGUUGAACAAAAGACUACUUUACCUUAUCAUAAGUUUUCUCAAAGUCAAUCUUAAUAAUUACCCCAUUCUUGUUUUUGCGAUGCAAUUCAUGAAUAGUUUCAUGUAAAAUAACAACUCUUUUCAUGAUAUUUCUCCCAGUAAUAAAAGCAGUUUGAGUACUACUAAUGACUUUUUGGGCAACCCCAAUUAUUCUGAUCUUUUUCAUAUAUAUAUAUAUGAACUAUAUAGUAUAUAUACCUAUUUUUUGUCCAAAAAUCUUGGGUAUACAUCUGAAUGCCCUUUAAUUAUAGCUGGGCUGCCCCUGGUAGAACCUCGUGUGGUUGUAUUUAUUGCUUAAACCAGCGGGAGAUAAUUAAACUCCGAGUAGGAGUCGUAUUUUAAUCUCAUUUUACUUCUGUAAUAAUGUAAUUUAAUAUCGAGAAAUAAUUAGAGUAGUCGUUUCGAAAAGGAGUCCAAUUAGACCAUGGGAGAAGGUUUCGAAAAUGAGUCCAGUUAAAUCUCUUCACGACGUACGUACGUUUGUACGUACUCAAAACUAACGCGGAAAUAACUGAAAAUCAAUUGAAUUUGGAUCAGAUUCGGACUCCGGAUCACCGCAUCCGUCUUGUUUUUGCGCGGUUUCACGCAAUAAAAACAGACCACCUCUCGCCGUGAUCCAAGCACCAAACGCUAACGUUCCAAGAGUCUUGGGGUCCAAGACAAGACAAGACAAGAAACAGUUGAGCUUUGCAAUCCGCGAGUUCUUUCGUCCGUGUUCAAACUUCAAAGUAGAGAGAUCAAUGGCGGCAGAGAAGAAGGAGGUUGCCGACGCCGCCGCCGGCAGCGGCAGCGACACAAUCCUCCUAAUCAGCUCCGACGGCGAGCACUUCAACGUGCCGUCGGCGGCGGCGAGCCUGUCACAGCUCGUCUCCAACAUGAUCGAGGACGACUGCACGACGAACGGGGUGCCUCUCCCCAACGUCGCCUCCAAGGUCCUCGCCAAGGUCAUCGAAUACUGCAUCAAGCACGCCGCCGCCGGGGAGGAGGAGGAGAAGGAUCUGAAGAGCUUCGACGCCGAGUUCAUCGAUGUGGACAAGAACAUGCUGUACGACCUGCUCCUGGCGUCCAAUUUCAUGAACAUCAAGAGCUUGCUGGAUUUGUGCUGCCAGCACACGGCGAACCUGAUCAAAGGCAAGUCGCCGGAGCAGAUCAGGAAGGAGUUUGGGAUCAAGAACGACUUCACGCCGGAGGAGGAGGAGGAAAUCCGCAAGGAGAACACAUGGGCCUUCGAGUAGAUUUUCCUUUGGGAAAAUAUUUAUGCUAAUUAAUUAUGUCAUGUUGCUGCGAAUUACUGCUCUAAUUAGUUACUACUAGGUAGUAGUACUAGUAGAGGUUCAGAUAAGAAAUUAGAGGAAUAUUUUGAGUGGCUUUUGCUUAAUUGUCAGUAACAUGCAUGCAUUGCAUGCUUAUAUAUAUUACCUUUGUACUAAUAGUUUCGACUCCCCUACUUAUAUUCUGCAAUAUAUGAAGUGCUCAUUAAGUCAUUAGUGCAAACUGUUUCCUUGCUCUUGUGGUUGUGAAAAGGGGCUUCUAAUUAGAAGCCGAUCUGACGUAGGGACUAAUGUGGAAUAUUUUGAUCCAAAGUAGGGACCAAUGUAUGAAUUGAACUUGCAACAUUACACUUCAUAGGGGCCGAUUUGAAAAAUUCUUGGAUCGUGCAUGCACGGCGUGGAUUAAAUAAUACUCGAAGCGGUACGAGCAACUUAUGCAGAAACACCCUUUAAAUAUAUUACUGUUUAAAUGAACCCCCCUAUUUGGACCGCUAAAAUAAAAUUGGUAGCGAUCCAAUCCUCGGGUCGUCGUACACCGUCCGAUCAAAACUGCGUGGCUCAGAUCGGCGACCGGCUUCCAGUGGGUUUGGUGCAUUUUUACAAAAUAGCCCCUGCGUGGGUUUUACCAAUACGAAUUCUCUCCGCCUCGUCGUCCCGUUCAUCGCCGGCGCCGCCGCGCCGCCGCCGCCAUCGUCUCCACCGGCCACCGCCACUCCUAGAGCCUGGAUGCCCCUCCAUUCGCAGUUCGAAUCCACGCAUCCACCGCCGCGCCGGAGGUAAUUUUCUCUCCACUCCCUUCCCUUCUCGUUGCUGCAAUGCUGCUACUAAGGGCAAACUCGAUGGCAACCAUGGAUCUGUACGAACGGGAAGAAGGGAGGGUUAGGGUUUCAUUAACGGGCGCAUACUAAUAAAACGACCGCAUUGGGGAACGGGUUAGGGUUUGGGGAUUUUUGGGUUACCGGCGCUGAUCCCCAAAUCUCCAAUGUGCCAUGAUUAUUUGAAGCUAGACUUGCCUACUAGGAUCAUUAAUUCAAUUUGACAAUUUCAUUGGCAUUUGUGUUUUAUAUUUCUUGCGGAUUGCGUGUGCUUAGGUAUUUCAGUUGCUGUGUGAAUGGAAAAAUCCUGUAAUUUAAUUUCUGACCCAUAGCUGUUUUGAAAAAUUACUGAUCCAUGGUUGUGUUUGCAACGAAGUCUGAUGAUACUGAUGUAGAAUUUAUUAUACUUCUGUAGUAUGAGUACUUGUUUUGUUGCGUGUGUCUAGGAUAACAUUUUGGUUUAGUGCAUUUGCAUGUGAUCUAUGGCUAUUACUUCUCAUGUUUGCUGUUCUGUUGGCUUGAUCUAAAGAGAAUCAUGUGUCUUAAGAGUCUGUCACGAGUGUUCUCUUGUACUGUUCUUCGUGUGUUUUCCUCCCAUGUCCAAGAUAGCAUCACAAGAUUAGUACUGUACAUAUACACAAAUUUUAGUGAAACUACUUGCUGUCACCUGUCAGCAUCCAGAUGAUGUUCAACAUGAAUCCUAUUUCUUGCCAGUACAUUGGACAAACAUCACAUGAGAUGUACAAGUCCCUGACAGUACCGUCAUGUUCAGUACCGUCCUGGUUAGUACGACUCACUGACAACCAAAUCACAGAUUCAAGUGACUGGAUUUACAGAGAAAUCUAAUUUGCAACUCUAACUUGCAAGAGAAAAUUAUGUAAACAAUUAAGGCAGCAUUGACACUUGAGCAAUUGAGACAUGCCAUAUGAACUUGGAGGCAUCAAGGCGAGGCCAACCAUACACUUGCAUUUGCUACAGCGACACUAGAGUUUUCAGUCAAAAUAAUGCACUCAACUCAACACACAGAAGAGUAUCCAUCUAAUGCUAGAGACAAUGAGGCUAAACUAGAUUGAUGAAAGAUCCUCAUACACAGACUUGAUCCCAGGUCUUUCAGAGACCGGCCGGAUGCAUCUCAAGGCAAUGCCCAGCACAUCCUUCAUGCCCUUGACAGAAACUUGGUUCUCAGAAUCUGAAGCCAUGGCUGGAUCAAAGCAAUCUGAUCCCCGACCUUCAGCCACCCGCAGACGGACCCAAUCAGUCAGGUCAACACCACCUUCAGAACCCGAGACAACAUCCCCAGCACACCUGCCAGUUAGGAGCUCCAGCAGCACGACACCGAAGGCGUACACGUCAGACUUGAACGAGGGAGAUGGCUUCUUGGACGCUGCUAGCUCUGGGGCACGGUAGCCUAGCACGCCCAGGUCGAGGAUCUGCUCAACAACUCCAGCCUGGGUCAUCAGGCGGUGCAGGCAGUAGUCAGCGACACGGGCAUUGAGGUCAAGUCCGUCCAACAAGAUGUUGGUAGCCUUGAGGUUUCCAUGAGGCAUCGCUCGGUCAAAAUGGAGGUAGUUCAGGCCACGCGCGACAUCAACUGCGAUCUUCAGCCGUUGCGCCCAGGUCAGUGGAGGGCCUCUCCUUCCUGGACGAUCUGCUAGGUUUCAGAGGAACAUAAAGCUUAGUUAGAGACUGAACAUAUUGGUAACCAACCAGUCACAUGCAUUUGCAGAUGGAGUAUACAAGAUCUCUAAGCCUGAUGUGUUCAAUUGCAGAAAUGAGAAACCAGUAAAUGAGAGCAUUACCGUACAAAAAGCUCGCAAGACUUCCUGGUGAAACAUAAUCCGACAAGAUCAGUUUUUCAUGUGCUGUUGGACCCCAGUAGUAACCACGCAAGCCAACAACAUUGGGAUGCCUAAUGUUUGCAAACUUCUUGGCCUCCUUCGAGAACUCUUUCUUGGGCCUUGCAACACCUUCCCUCAGCCAUUUCACUGUUAGGAAGACACCAUUCUCAAGUGUUGCUCUGUACGAAGUCCCGUGGCUGCUCCUCCCAAGAACCUCAGCCGGUGCCCUUGACAAUUCCUCCGGUGUCAGUGUGAUUGUUUCAUCCAGGAAGUGCAACUCCCCUGCUAACCUGUCAGGUGAUCUGACAUCCAACCGUGCCAGGCCUUCCUGGGUGUAUGCCUCUCCAGAAUCUGGUGACCAAGAGAAGCGGCUACCUUUGGAUGGGGAAAAUCCCCCUACACCUGACAGCUUCUCUUCUUGGCUUAGUGCUUCAGAUGUAGAGCCCUUUCGAGGAGCACCAAGCUCAUCUGCUGAGACCACCAAACCACCUUUGUCAUCCUUUCCUUUUGUACUGGCCAUGUCUUUGCUAGUCUUGUGGAGGUUCUUGUCUGAAACCUUUUCUGAGCUAGGGAACUGCCGUGAGAUUUGCUUGUAAUGGCAAACAAUGGCAACAAGGAUAAGGAUGACAAGAGCAACGAUACUAGCUGCUAUAAGUGCUAUUUUAGCUGCUGCACUGAGUGACCUGCCACCAGCUGAACCAGAGGAACUGCCAGACCCAGAAGAGCUAGCAGGAUAGUCUAGUCUCGAGUUCCCAGGAUGGAAGGAAGAUUCUGGAAACUUCCUCAAGUUCACUGGAACAACACCAGAUAGAUCAUUAUAAGAGGCAUUGAAUGAUUGCAAUGUAUCUGGAAGUGCAUCAGGCAAUGACCCAGUGAACUGGUUUAUUGAUAUGUCGAGAGCAGUGAGCGCUGCAAGCUUGGUGAUAGAGGCUGGCAAAGGACCAGAGAAAUUGUUUGUAGAUAUAUCAAGAGCUUGGAGGCUAGAUAAAGAUGCUAUUUCAUCAGGGAGGCUGCCAUUAAAGUGAUUUCCAGAAAUAUCAAGAACUUGAAGACUCAGAUUUUUUGACGAUGAUCCUGGAAAUGAUAGACCUCCACUAAGCAUAUUGUCGUGGAUGUAGAGCUCUUGCAGCAUGGACGAAGUGAGUAAAUUAGCAGGAAUAGGACCUCUGAACUGAUUGGAGCUGAGAUCAAGGACAGUGAGUUUGGGGUACUGAACAACAGCUUCAGGGAUGGUGUCAGCUAGGGAAUUAUGGGAAAGAUUCAGGUAGUUCAAGCGAAGGAAUUGAGAGCUCACAUCAGGAAUUGUUCCAGUUAGAUUGUUCUGGCUAAGAUCAACAUACUCCAAAUCAUUGCUCCAUUUGGCAAUAACUGACAAAUUUCCUUUAAACUUGUUAUUUGACAGAUCUAACACAGUGCAGCUUCCAGCAAGCAUUGGAAGAUCCCCAAAGAGAGCAUUGGAGGAAAGAUUAAUAACUUGCAAGGUGGUCGAUGUGAUCAUAUUGAUGUGUCCUGUGGAUUAACGAAAAAUAUUGUUAGUCCAAAAUAACACAAGUGGAACUUAAAAGUGAUACUUUUGUUUUAAGAGAAAUGUCAUGAUAUGACAGAAAACAUAGGAGCGUGUUUGAGUUGUCCUGCUCUUUUAAUAACAAUUUAGAUAACUAUGAUGAAUGCAUUGAGUUCUAGGAGUGAUGACUUUACUCAAAUGCAAGAUAUAAUCUGUGAGACAUAAUAUUUUGAAAUGCAACAGUUCAGUAUUCUUACUCAUACACCCAGUCAGGUAUAUACAACUAGCUGCGUCCUAUUAAUAAUUGUAUUUUUCACAACAUCCAAAGGUGAAGAUCUAACAACAAAGGUUAAGAUACAUGUACUGUCACUGCAACUACACAAUGCAUUUAACAUUACUGUGGAACAGAAAUCCAUCACAAACUACUUUCAAAUAUUCUCAAUAAUACCAUUGGGGUAUGCAUGCAUAAUAAAUAACGUCUCUCUUCAUGACCAAAACUAUCACAAGCUAGCCAUCACUGAUCCAGUAAUUGCUUUGGAGAAAAUUAUUAGUCAGUAGGAGGCUAGGAGCAAAGAUUCCAAGAAAGAACCUUUCACGCAAAACAAGAAGAAUGCAAAUAUAGAAUUGGCAUAAGACAAAACAAUCAAAUGACCUACACUGGUGCACACUCAACCACAGAUCAGUAAAAGCUCAUGCCAUGCUGUGUAAUGUAAUCAACAGAUCAGUACAUCAUUGAAAUGAGAGAAUCAAUUGGUAUAAUGAACUAAGAACACUAAUGUAAGAUGCCGAUUCAAAGUUUUAUGCAAGCUGAACACUACCGAUCUGUUUUGGAGGCUGGACCUUUUGUGAAGGAGCCCCACAUCCAAUUUUUUUAAAUCAGAAUGGGCAUCCACAUGGUAUGAAGAGAAAAGGAACAAAAGGUGUAAGAAGAACAAUUUUCAGGUAGAGCUCAUUACCAGUCAGAUUAUUUGCACUCAGGUCCAGCUCACUGAGAACCAGAGAAUCCCCUUUCAGAAGUCCACUAGGUACAAACCCCGUGAAUGCAUUGUUUGCCAGUCGCAAAACUUCAAGAUCAUAGACAUAAUUGAACCCUGGCAAGUCUCCAGAUAACUGAUUAUGGCUCAGAUCAAGCACCUUCAAUCUCCCAAAUGUCGAGAGCUCAACUCCAUCAAUCAAUGACCCAGUCAACUUAUUGUUGCUCAAGUUGAGAUAUAGAACUGUCUCUGAAAUAUCUGCCAGGAACUUGAGCUCUUUGGGGGUGGUACUGGUGAGCAAGUUCCCACUGAAGUCAACAUGAGCAACAGUUGACUCAAUCAAGAAUUUCCAAUCAACACCGCCUUCCAAUUGAUUCCAGCUUAGAUCCAAAGAUUGGAGAUUCACAAGAAGGCCAAGCCCAGAUGGGAUGCCCUUUGUGAAGGCAUUGUAUGAGAGGUUCAGAGCAACCAUGCUGCGGAGACCUUUCAGAGAUGAAGGCAAUGGACCAGACAAAGAGUUUCCACUCACAUCCAGUGACUGAAGCGACGCAAGCCCAUCGAUGGAGUCAGGCAGUGGCCCUGAGAAGUUGUUCCUGGCAAGCGACAGGUUCUGCAGGCUCCGGAGAUUGCCUAUGUUAUCAGGAAUCGGCCCCGAGAACCGGUUGUUUGAGAUAUCCAUGAACUUCAGGCUCUUCAGACUACCCACAUUGCUCGGCAGGCUCCCAGACAGAUUGUUAUUGGCCAUAGAGAGCUUCACAAGCAUAGUCAGAUUGACGAACACGGACAGAUCGGCGACACCGGAGAUGCCAUGGCCAUCAAGCACAACCCCUGCCACGUUUGCGCCAUUGCACACGAUGCCGUUCCAGGAAGCCGGACAGCCAUUGAAAUCAAUCGACUCGUCGUUCCACGAAUCGGUGAUGAAUCCAGCAGGGUCAUGAGUGAUGCCCUUCUUGAAAGCAAGGAGCGCAAGGAUGUCCUGUGAAGGUAGCUGGCCAAAUGCAGGGGCAGCAAGCAGGAGCAGCACCAAAAAACUCCCAAGAAUCCCCAUUGCUGCUCUCCAGACAAAGAUUGGAAGCUACUGAGCCUCAAAGACACAGCACCUGAAGCAUUUCUUGCAGCAAAAAUGGACUGGAAGUGUAGAGUGUAUCUACCAGAAGGCUCUCACAACAAGCUGCCACUAAUACCCACAACACUUGUCCCUUUCAGCUGAUCUCCACAGUACCACACAUCACCAUAAAACCCCCAACUUUUCAGCUCCUUCCAACCUGAAAUAAGCACGGAAUGGCAAGUUAAGGACCGAAUCUUUGAGCCUCCCUGCAAGCAGGUAAAAAUCCAGCUAGUACAAAGAAAUGGCAACUUUAGUAAGGGAUCCAAAGAGUUGGUUAAACCCCUCACCAGCUUUUAACACCCAAUCAUGCAGGUAAAAAAAAGCACCAUCUUUCCCCCCUCACUAAAACAGCCCAACUACCACUAGUGUAUUAUCACAGCUUCAACCCACAAAAACACAGCUCAAAAAGCAGAAACUUUUACUCAUCCAUCCAAGCCACCAAGAAACCAAAAGAAAAACAAACCCCAGAUGCAACCAGCAAACAAAACAAAAAACCUACACACAAUCUUUAUACACUUGCAAUCUUGCAUCCUCCUUACCCAGCAAUGAGGCCGGUUGCUCUGACGCAUUAAGAACAAGCAACCACACCACCUUGGAGAAUGAAGGAAAAGAAUGAAUGGUUGCGGCGGCAGGGGAGGAGGGGAAGUGGUGGAGGCAAUGCCGUGGAGAGAAGGGAGGACGGCGGCGAAGCGAGGAACCCUAGCAAUGGGGGAUUGGGUUCUUGGUGGCUUGGCUGCUAGGGAGAAGGAGGAGAAGAGAGGGGAAUGGUGGUGGUGGUGGCUGCAAGCCUGCAGGGGAAGAGGUAGAAAGGAGAGGAGGGAGCAGCGGCGGCAGUGGGGAGUGGGACUGUGUCCUUUCUCUCUCUGUGUGUUGGCUAGAUGAAUCUUUUUUUUUUUUGGUUUGUUUUUUACCUCUGCUUGUGCUCUGUUUUGUUUUCUCCUCGCGGUUUUUUAUUGUGCAUUUUUGCGUUUUGGUCCUUGUGAUUAUGAUUAUGUGUGAAAUCGACCCCUCAGUUGUUCAAUGCAGUGGUACUGUGGUUGUACUGGUGACAACUAAACAAUACGGAAACACUUUGACCAAUGGUAUUACUAUGGUAGUUUCUCCUUUAAUAAAUGGGAUCAUAAUGCUGCGUACACAUUCUAUGAGUAUAUACGAUUUUGGCAGGCAAUACAGAAUAUUUUUUUAGUUUGAAUAAAAAAACGUGUUCUUUUCCCUACACCUUUUAUAAUUGUGUGAUUUUUAGGGGGCAAUUAUAUUUAGCUAUCUUUAUUGAUAUGAAAAUAUAGUUACGUCGUUCACCAACAUUUUAAAAUAGAUAUAAGGGGUUCGUCGAUCUAAAUACAUUAUUUCUUUUUUCGAAAACACAGACCUAACUAAUUAAUGAGCUACUAUCUGGUUUACCUCUAUAUUAUAUAUAUAUUACAAUUCUCAAUGAAAACCCUGUCAAAACCUUGAUAUAAAAUUGUGUGAGCCUUGACCCUGCUCACCUACUAACUACAGCGUACCAAUACACCCACCCAUCACUGUACGAGCCUACAGUACGAAUUAGUCCCAACAUGGAUCAGAGUUUGACUCGACACUCUGUUUUACAAUUCGUACAAAACAGCGAAAUACACUAGCAGGUCAGGGGCCAAAACGUAAAAUGGCCAAAUCCCCCCGUCUCCCUCCCAGUGUCCCCCCUCCUUUCCCGUAAUCUUUUCUCCUCCCCUUUCCCGCGAAAUCUCUUCCUUUCCCUCGCGCGCGCGCCAAAACAAAACGGAGUUGCAACGCAACAGGCGCGGUUGGGUUUGGUUUGGUUCCGCCUCGGGUCCCCCGCCCCCUCUUCUUUCCCUCGCGGACCCCAAAACCGCGGCUCAAAUGCGGCUCACUCCACGCCGGCGCGCACGCACGCACCGGGUCCGGUAGGUCGCUGCAGGUGGGCCCCACAUGGCAGCCGCCGGAGGAGGAUAACCCCCGUUGCCUCGUGAACCGUGUGUGUGCCCGGAAAAUCCGAGAAAAAACAGAGAGAGGAAAAUGUGCCAUGCCUCCUCUGUGUGUGUCUCUCUCUCCUGACCUUUUGCUUUUGCCACCGUGGCUGGAUGUGGGCCCUACCAAUGGAAAAGUUUCAUUUUUUUUCAUUGUACUGUGUUUUUUGGUAGCACGCUUCUGAGUUGUUGUUAAAAAUCAAAUGAAUCUUUUCUUCAAAGUUUUACUGCUUAAUAUGUUCUCUCUGUUUCAAGUUAUAAAUUGUUUUGAUUUUAGUCAAAGUCAAACUACUUUAAAUUUGACUUUGUUUGUUAAAAAAAGUAAUAAUAUUUUUAAUCAAGAUAAAUAUAUUUUGAAAAUAUAUUCAAUUAUAGAUUUAAUUGAACUAAUUUGGUAUUGUAAAUAUUACUAUAUUUAUCUAUAAAACUUAAUUAAAUUUAAAAUAGUUUAAGUUUAACCAAAGUAAAAACAACUUAUAACCUGAAGCGGAGGGAGUAACAAAUUAUACGUGCAACAUUAGCUUUUCUCGUUUCAUAUGCUGUUGAAAACCAAACCCACGUAGCCAUGACGAAGGGGGCCUACUACCAGAUAUUGGGCCUAUUUGGUUCUCUAACCUACCAAUUAAAAUUGGUAGUACUAAAAUCUAGGCAAAUUUUGGCACUACCAAUUUAAAAAUUGGUAGGGCAAAGUUAGCUAGUUAUGUUUGGUUUAAUACCAAUAUAAAUCUAAAAUUUAGUAUGAGAGUGAAGAAGAUUCUAGAAUGUAGCCAAAUUGAGCGUGGACACUACCAAUUGUUUUGCUUCAAUCCAAACUAACAUGUUUACUAUUAAAGUUACCAAAAUUUUGGUAGUGUCACGUUUUGGCUCCAAUCCAAAUCAGCGCUUGGAGCAGGUGGUCAGGGAAUGUUUUACCCAGGGACAUGGGUGGCGGUCUAGCCUGAAGAUUGGUGCUCCCUGAUUUUUACUGCUUUCCUUCUCUUGUUACAAACUCUUUUGUGGGUUUGUGUGUUUUGGCUGUGUGCAUCCUAGUUAUGCAGAGGCCGGGAGUUUUCUUAGUAUGGUUCUAUCAACUUGAUGUAAUCGUCUGAGAUUAAUAAAAGCUUCCUUUAUCAAAAAAAAAAUUGGCUAGU